GAUGAAGAACGCAGCGAAAUGCGAUAAGUAAUGUGAAUUGCAGAAUUCCGUGAAUCAUCGAAUCUUUGAACGCACAUUGCGCCCUCUGGUAUUCCGGGGGGCAUGCCUGUCCGAGCGUCAUUUGCAACCCUCAAGCCCGGCUCGUGUGAUGGGUGCCGUCCCCUACGGGACGCGCCCCGAAGGCAAUGGCGGCGUCGCGGUUAUCCGAUCAGCCGAAGUGUAUGGGGCUUUGUCACUCACUUUACGGCCCGGACCGGCGCCAGUCCGAAUCAAUCUUUUUUCUAAAGUUGACCUCGGAUCAGGUAGGGAUACCCGCUGAACUUAAGCAUAUCAAUAAGCGGAGGA
rnacentral:misc_RNA from 1 species